rnacentral:rRNA from 1 species
UACAGAGGUCUCAAGCGUUGUUCGGAUUCAUUGGGCGUAAAAGGGGUGCGUAGGCGGCGUGGUAAGUCGGGUGUGAAAUCUCAGGGCUCAAACCCCUGAAACUGCACUCGAUACUGCUCUGCUUGAGGACUGGAGAGGAGACUGGAAUUCACGGUGUAGCAGUGAAAUGCGUAGAUAUCGUGAGGAAGACCAGUGGCGAAGGGCGGGGU